GGAGGAUCCGAGCGUNAUCCGGAUNNANNGGGUNUAAAGGGUGCGUAGAUGGAUAUNNAAGUCAGUNGUGAAAGUNNGCGGCUCAACCGUAAAAUNGCAGUNGAUACUGGAUAUCUUGAGUGCAGUUGAGGCAGGCGGAAUUCGUGUGUAGCGGUGAAAUGCUUAAAUAUCACGAAGAACUCCGAUUGCGAAGGCAGCCUGCUAAGCUGCAACUGACAUUGAGGCUCGAAGGUGUGGGUAUCAAACAGGAUUANAUACCCUGGUAGUCCACACGGUAAACGAUGAAUACUCGCUGUAGGCGAUAUACGGUCUGCGGCCAAGCGAAAGCAUUAAGUAUUCCACCUGGGGAGU
rnacentral:rRNA from 1 species